rnacentral:rRNA from 1 species
CUACGGGUCGCAGCAGUGGGGAAUCUUAGACAAUGGGCGCAAGCCUGAUCUAGCCAUGCCGCGUGAGCGAUGAAGGCCUUAGGGUUGUAAAGCUCUUUCAGCUGGGAAGAUAAUGACUGUACCAGCAGAAGAAGCCCCGGCUAACUCCGUGCCAGCAGCCGCGGUAAUACGGAGGGGGCUAGCGUUGUUCGGAAUUACUGGGCGUAAAGCGCACGUAGGCGGACUGGAAAGUCAGGGGUGAAAUCCCGGGGCUCAACCCCGGAACUGCCUUUGAAACUCCCAGUCUUGAGGUCGAGAGAGGUGAGUGGAAUUCCGAGUGUAGAGGUGAAAUUCGUAGAUAUUCGGAGGAACACCAGUGGCGAAGGCGGCUCACUGGCUCGAUACUGACGCUGAGGUGCGAAAGCGUGGGGAGCAAACAGGAUUAGAUACCCCAGUAGUC